AGCCCUAGGAAAUAAUCUAGGGUGAAGCCUGCCCAAUGAUUUUUUUUUAAUGGCCGCAGUACUUUGACUGUGCUAAGGUAGCAUAAUCAAUUGGCUUUUAAUUGGAGUCUGGAAUGAAGGGAAAAACGGGAUUAAGCUGUCUCUAAAUUUUUAAUUUGAAGUUACUAAUUAGGUGAAAAGGCCUAAAAAAGAUAAAAGACGAGAAGACCCUUAGAGUUUUAAUAUAUUUUUGUUGGGGCGACGCAGAGUCAUUAAACACUCUGAAAAAAUAUGACGGAAGUUUCAUGAUUAGAUAAACUACCUGAGGGAUAACAGCAUAAUUUUAUUAAGUUUGUGACCUCGAUGUUGGACUAGGAAGCUCUUAGGCUAGCCGCCUAAGAAGGGGAUUCUGUUCGAAUUUUUACUCCU
rnacentral:rRNA from 1 species